rnacentral:rRNA from 1 species
UUGGACCUGAUAUCAAACA